rnacentral:rRNA from 1 species
UCGUAGCGGCUUAUAGUCAGUGUGAAAGUUGCGGCUCAACCGUAAAAUUGCCAUUGAUACUGUAGGUCUGAAUCAUUGUGAAGUGGUUAGAAUGUGUAGUGUAGCGGUGAAAUGCAUAGAUAUUACACAGAAUACCGAUUGCGAAGGCAGAUCACUAACAAUUGAUUGACGCUCAGGGACGAAAGCGUGGGUAGCGAACAGGAUUAGAUACCCUGGUAGUCCACGCCGUAAACGAUGGUUACUAGCUGUUUGGACUUCGGUCUGAGUGGCUAAGCGAAAGUGAUAAGUAACCCACCUGGGGAGUACGUUCGCAAGAAUGAAACUCAAAGGAAUUGACGGGGGCCCGCACAAGCGGUGGAGCAUGUGGUUUAAUUCGAUGAUACGCGAGGAACCUUACCAGGGCUUAAAUGUAGUCUGACAGCUUUAGAGAUAGAGUUUUCUUCGGACAGAUUACAAGGUGCUGCAUGGUUGUCGUCAGCUCGUGCCGUGAGGUGUCAGGUUAAGUCCUAUAACGAGCGCAACCCCUGUUGUUAGUUGCCAGCGAGUAAUGUCGGGAACUCUAGCAAGACUGCCGGUGCAAACCGCGAGGAAGGUGGGGAUGACGUCAAAUCAUCACGGCCCUUACGUCCUGGGCCACACACGUGCUACAAUGGCCGGUACAGAGAGCAGCCACUUAGUGAUAAGGAGCGAAUCUAUAAAGCCGGUCACAGUUCGGAUCGGAGUCUGCAACUCGACUYCGUGAAGCUGGAAUCGCUAGUAAUCGCAUAUCAGCCAUGAUGCGGUGAAUACGUUCCCGGGCCUUGUACACACCGCCCGUCAAGCCAUGGAAGCUGGGGGUACCUGAAGUCCGUCACCGCAAGGAGCGGCCU